ACAAAACAAAAAAACUUAGCAACCAUUUUUGUUAUUAUAUACAUUAAAUUUCAAUAUAAUAUGAUCAAAUGGAGUUUAAUUUGCAUAAUAUUUGUGACGCUGAGCAAUGUAAUUACAACUGAACAGUAUGAUAUAAACAAAAAUAUCUGUGCUGAUUGCGAGAGUUAUCUUCGUUUCUGUCGCAUAUCAAGUUAUGGCUUUUCGGUUCAGCUGGAUGAUGAUUCAGAUAAAAUUUCAAUAAAUACACAAAACUCCACAACUGAUGAUUCUUUGUCUGAUUGCGUACCGCCGGUUUAUCAAAUUUCUGAAUUUCUGGAGGGAUUCGCUUGUUUUUGGUCAAAGCGCAUGGGGUGUAACAUGGUUCUGGGUAGAAGAGAGCAGGAAAAGGGUUUCGACGCAUUAACUUGUUUACAAUGCUACGAUUAUUGUCCUUGCUUCGCGCAAGGUUUGACUUUUGCAACAGGGCACAGAAAAUCUAUAACUAUUUGUCUUGGUAUCAUAUUAGUAAUAAAUAAAGUAUUGUUUGGCCAGCUAUAAAUAUAU